AAGCGCGCGCUUGAUAAGCGUGAGGUCGGAGGUUCAAGUCCUCCCAGGCCCACCAAUUUAUGAUUGCUGAUAAGUUUGCUGAUAAGUUUUUUGUGAAUGUUUUGAUGGUCUUUUAUCUUACGAUCUUUCACUUUUAUGUUGCAAUCUUUCAAAAGUAUUUGAACUGUUUUAGGGGCCGUAGCUCAGCUGGGAGAGCACCUGCUUUGCAAGCAGGGGGUCGUCGGUUCGAUCCCGUCCGGCUCCACCAUCUUUGGUUAUCAUCAUCGUUAAAGAACAAUGUUUGCAAUAGAUCUACAGAUCUUAAGUCUAUCAUCUAUUGCCUGUUCUAUUGAAAUUGUGAAGAGAAGAUAUAUUCAGACAUUACUGUUUUAUUCAGCUAUUGUUGUUUUGUUGUUGCUUUUAAUGUUUAAGUCUCUCCUUUAAGGAAUGACAAAAAGCUUAAAAACGCAACGCUUACUUAAAAACACAACGCUAACAUUGUUAAACAAUGUUUAAAGCAGUGUAAUGUGUCGCUAGGGUAUGCUCAAAGCCUUAGCU
rnacentral:tRNA from 1 species